AUGGCGGCUCAGACCUGUGGGCUCCACGAUCACCACGGCGCUGCCUCCUGGCCUUGCCGCUGGCAGUCACCGAACCCUCGCCGGAUUGUCGACCCAACAACUAACCAUCACCCUCAUCUCAUUAGUUGGCUUCCCUCUACUGGAUCUGAAUUUUUUGGUUGGUUUGCAAAGUGCAGAUGUGUGACUUCCUUUAUGAUGAAGGCAUCGAGGAGAUAA
rnacentral:rRNA from 1 species